GAUGAACGCUGGCGGCGUGCUUAACACAUGCAAGUCGAACGAGUGGCGAACGGGUGAGUAAUGUAUGGGGACCUGCUCGAUAGAGGGGGAUAACUACUGGAAACGGUAGCUAAUACCGCAUACUAUUGGAUGAACCCAUAUGUGAUUAGCUAGUAGGUGAGGUAAUGGCCCACCCAGGCGACGAUCCCUAGCUGGUCUGAGAGGAUGAUCAGGCACACUGGGACUGAGACACGGCCCAGACUCCUACGGGAGGCAGCAGUGGGGAAUAUUGCACAAUGGGCGCAAGCCUGAUGCAGCCAUGCCGCGUGUGUGAAGAAGGCCUUCGGGUUGUAAAGCACUUUCAGCGAGGAGGCGUUACUCGCAGAAGAAGCACCGGCUAACUCCGUGCCAGCAGCCGCGGUAAUUC
rnacentral:rRNA from 1 species